rnacentral:lncRNA from 1 species
UGGCGUAUUAGUUAUAUCCCACAACUCCAUCCCAUUCAUAGGUAGUAUGAGGUUUUCAUAUGCCUUGAAAUAUGUUUCAGUGUGAUAACAUGCAUCCACAAAAUCCAUUACGUUCAGGCCCCCAUUGUAAUUUAUAGUUAGCACUCCAUGAACACAAGGCCAACCAAUCAAAUCCCAUUCUCUGCAACAACAGGUCCUUAAAUCCAAGUCCACAAUAUACUGUGAAAUCCC